UUGGAGCCAGCGGAAUGGGCGGGAGGGGCGGGGCAGGGCUUCAUAAAUGCCAUGUGGAAGCUUUGAACCCCGAGUUAAAAGUUAUCGGUCCCGCAUUAGCACCGAAAGGUCUAAGAGCUGCGGGGCGCCUCCCGUUCACAGGCCCGGUACAGCAGAGCGCAGCAUGCGCUGUGAUCCUGGAUCAGGAGACAGGCAAAGAGGGGGUUGCCAACCUUCCAGGAUUGGACUGGAUUCUCCAGGAGCUGAAGAUCAAUCUCCAGAACACUGCUGUGUGCAGCCCUGGAGAAAUAUCUUAAGAGCAUUAAAAAGAUUGUUUUAAUUUGUAAUUUUCUUUGAACGUUUCUCUUUAUAAAAAUAUUGAAAGUGGGACAAAUCAUCAUCCAAUUGCGCCACGAGACAUUUUGCUUUCCAAUUGGCCUGAGAAGGCAGCGUGUCACAAGGAAGGAUGUGUUGGCCGACUAAUGGCUGGAGUAUAGGGGCAAGUCAUGUGAUGGAACCUCCAGGAAUACAUUUAAUCAGAGUUGGCAACCCUAGAGGAGAGAAUAUUGUGAAUUUCUGUCCCAGACCGACAGUGAUGGUUUCUGUAAACUUACAGGGCACUGGAAUUGGAGAAUUGAUAGGCUGGAAACUCAAACCAAACAUCACAUCAAGAUCUGACAGAUUCACUCGAUUCAUCAGAAACUGAAUAUCAGCAGCAUCUGAAUGUGAAAGCUCCUGUAAAUACUGACUGGAAAGGGAACAGAAUCUCAGGAGGUUCCACACCGCUGGCUGCUCGUGUGAAAGUGAUCUCCGAUCAGAUUAAUGUGCUUCUGCUUUUCACAGGGGAUUAGAAGGGGAGGAUUUGCAGUCAGGAAACAGAAACAAAACAUCACAGCAGAAUCUGACAUUCGACUGAUUUAUCGUAACCUGAAUAUCAUUUGAUUUUGAACGUGGAAGGAAAAAGCACCGUUCACAGUGGAGAGAAAUCGUACACAUGUCCUGUGUGUGGACGAGGCUUCAACCGAUCAUCUGACCUGUCAAGACACCAGCGCAGCCACAUCCGGGAGAAACCAUGGAAAUGUGGGGAUUGUG